GAUGAAGAACGUAGUGAAACGCGAAAUGUAAUGUGAAUUGCAGAACCCCAGUGAAUCAUCGAAUCUUUGAACGCACCUUGCGCUCUGUGGUAGUCCGCAGAGCAUGCCUGUUUGAGUGUCGCGCCCCCCUCUCAAGCCCCGGUUCUGUGUACGCAGACGCCGGGCGCCUUGGAUCGUGGCCUUUCGUCGACUCCGAUCUGCGCGAGUCGAAGGCCGAAAGCGAACGAUGAAGCGACCUCGAGGUCGCGCGGCUUGACCGGACCGAUUGUACGCCCCCUUCGGAGCCGGGACGCGCGCCUUGGACGCUGCGAACGACGACGCACGGAUUCCUCGGAAUUCGAGUUUGACCUCAAAUCAGGCAGGACGACCCGCUGAACUUAAGCAUAUCAAUAAGCGGAGGA
rnacentral:misc_RNA from 1 species